rnacentral:piRNA from 1 species
UCUAUGACAAUGCGGUCCAGGGUCUACGC